GUUUCUCUCCCUUGUUUCCUCUCCCCUGCUCUCACACGUGCACUACACUUGCCAUGCCUCCUAAGUUUCAUUAAGACAGGCGUUCCUCUCCCUUGCUCUAACACGUGCAUUGCACGUGCCAUACAUCCUUAGAUUCAUUAAGACCAGCGCAAAUGAGACGAGGAUCUCUGACUGUCAGUCUCCGAAUCCCGCUCCUUACACAGAAGCUGCAAAAUCCCGUCCGUUCCCCUUGAAAACGAGUAAAACAACGAUCCAGAUACAGAGAAGAGGAGGAGGCGAGCUACGGAGAUUCGCCAUGAAAUCGCGAGCUACCUUCGGCCUCUUUACCGCUUUCAUGGCGCUUCUAGUUUUCGUCACCACCAAACUCCAGUACGAACACAUAAAGUUGGAGAGUCGCUGGUGGCCUUCCUCCUCAACCAAGGAUCCGGACCACGAUCGCUUUGGGUUCUCGGGUUCUUUGCCUCGGGGCAUUGUGAAAUCGACAUCUGACAUGGAGCUGAAGCCUCUGUGGAAGAACUCAAGGUUAAAAGGCACUAGCGAGAAUUACAUUGCUCUCUUGGCAAUGCCUGUUGGUAUUGAGCAAAAGAAAAAUGUGAACAUAAUAGUUCGGAAGUUUCUCUCUGCGAAUUGCUCCAUUAUACUUUUUCAUUAUGAUGGGAAUGUGGAUGGAUGGCAUGAUCUUGAAUGGAGCGAGAAGGCAAUACAUAUACUUGCUCAUAACCAAACAAAAUGGUGGUUUGCAAAACGCUUUUUACAUCCAGAUGUUGUAUCCUCCUAUGACUAUAUCUUUCUAUGGGAUGAAGAUUUAGGAGUGAAGAAUUUUCACCCUGGAAGGUAUUUGCAAAUCAUGAUUUCUGAAGGUUUAGAAAUUUCACAACCUGCUUUGGAUCCUGAUCUAUCUGAAAUUCAUCACCGCAUUACCAUCCGCAAUAAAACGGGGAAGCUCCACAGGCGAGUCUAUGAUUUUCGUGGGAGCUUGAAUUGCUCAGAUAAAAGCAGAGGGCCUCCUUGCACUGGAUGGGUGGAGGGAAUGGCACCUGUGUUUUCACGAGCUGCCUGGCGUUGUGUGUGGCAUCUCAUCCAGAACGAUCUGAUUCAUGGGUGGGGUUUGGACAUGAAGCUUGGAUACUGUGCUCAGGGGGACCGAACUAAGAAGGUUGGAGUGAUCGAUAGUGAAUUCGUUAUUCACCAGGGGAUACCAUCGUUGGGCGGAUCAUCUGCAAAUAAGAAUUUGGCUGUUGGAUUCUUGCAGCUUUCCAAUCAUGGCUCUUCAGAACAUUCGACAGUGAAGGUACAGGGUGAAAGAUCCAUUGAUUUAAGAUCCCAGAUCAGGAGACAGUCGACAGCUGAACUGCAAAUAUUCCGGAAGCGGUGGGAUCGAGCUGUGAGGGAAGAUGAGGACUGGACUGAUCCUUUCAAACCCGUCAGAAGGAGAAGGGCAGCUACUUGAACCAUUGCUUCCAUAAGGUUACGUUUUACAAGGAAGAAUUUCCCAUUAUUUUAUUAUUCUUUAAGUGCGCCACCCCUCGCGACAGAUUGGCGGUGUUCAUUGGAGGUUCGGCGAUAAUUUUCAUGCAGCAGAACACGUAAUUGCAUCCUUGCUGGAGUUGUGAGAUUAGAAAUACGUCUGAUACCAUAAAUUCAAAAAUAUAAGAAGUUAGAUUUUCAGUCUGUCUUUUUCCAUGAACUUGCCUUUCACUAUCAUUCUGUAGCCCUGGGGUGUAUUAUUAUGGUUGUACAGUGGCAAAAUUGUAACUUGAUAGGAAAUUUUGUCCCUUGAUUGCUUUAGGAGAGUCUGAUUUCUGUUCAAAUGCAGCUUACUCAUGGGAAAAAAAAAAAGAGAGAGAGAGAGAGAGAGGUAGAAGAAGAAGAAAAGAUAUGAAAUAGAAAAGGAAAAAAGAAAACAAAGAAGAAGAAGCAGAGGAAGAAUUGAUUAGCAUUUCUAUUACCUGGGGUUAGGCCAUUUCUUGCAAUUUCAUUUGGAAUAUAGACCAACUACAGCUGAAAAUGUCACACUUACGUAAUGUAUUUUUAGGGCUGUGUCAUUACUGUACAUGGCAGGUCUAUAUGGGUAUGUUUGGUAUUUAUUGGUAGGAGGAAUAUUUGAUAGGAUGGCAGAGUACAACGGCCAUAUUCAUGCAAUCAGUUGUAAAUGUGGGAUGAAUUUAGCACCAGUUGAACUGUCCAAUUUUUGGACCCACCGUAGAUAGGUUGAAAUUUAGAUUGAUAGAAUGAUUGAGCUCUUCUGAUUAACGGAUUAUUUAUUUAUUUAUUUUGAAUUUGGAUCCUUUAACUAGUAUUCAUUUCAACAAUUGCCCAGUUAGGGCAUCAGCUCAGUGUAAUUUCUGGUUCAUGGCCCAUUUAAAGUGGGAUCCAUGACUUGGAUGGUGUAAUUUGAGUUACAUAUAUGCACGGUGCCCUGUUCUUAGGUGCAUUACCAUAGAAGUCUUACUUUAAUUAUUGGUACCUGGCCAUUACGAUCCAUUACCAAAGCCUACCAAUUAGGGUUUGUUAGGUUUGAUGGACGCCAUGUACGUACUAACAGCAGUCGAUAGAUGAGUAAAACAAAUAAAUAGAAAAAAAGAAAAAUAAGGGAA